GUUAAAGAUAUUGGGAUAAUUGAGGUUAAGUGUCCUUAAAUUUGACUAGUAUUGGGUUGGGUGACCUCUUGGGAAGUCUAAACUCAUGAGCU
rnacentral:rRNA from 1 species